CCAAGGAGUCUAACAUGUGCGCGAGUCAUUGGGACUUGCUUAGGCCCAAAGGCGCAAUGAAAGUGAAGGUCGGCCCCCGAUGUCGACCGAGUUGGGAUCCCGCGCCUACCCCUUACAGGUGCGCGGGAGCACCAACGACCCGUCCCGUCCGCACCGUCGGUGGGGCGGAGUGUGAGCGUACACGUUGGGACCCGAAAGAUGGUGAACUAUGCCUGGGCAGGACGAAGCCAGAGGAAACUCUGGUGGAGGUCCGUAGCGAUUCUGACGUGCAAAUCGAUCGUCAGACCCGGGUAUAGGGGCGAAAGACUAAUCGA
rnacentral:rRNA from 1 species